AUUGAACGCUGGCGGCAGGCCUAACACAUGCAAGUCGAACGGUAACAGGAAGCAGCUUGCUGCUUCGCUGACGAGUGGCGGACGGGUGAGUAAUGUCUGGGAAACUGCCUGAUGGAGGGGGAUAACUACUGGAAACGGUAGCUAAUACCGCAUAACGUCGCAAGCCCAAAGAGGGGGACCUUAGGGCCUCUUGCCAUCGGAUGUGCCCAGAUGGGAUUAGCUAGUAGGUGGGGUAACGGCUCACCUAGGCGACGAUCCCUAGCUGGUCUGAGAGGAUGACCAGCCACACUGGAACUGAGACACGGUCCAGACUCCUACGGGAGGCAGCAGUGGGGAAUAUUGCACAAUGGGCGCAAGCCUGAUGCAGCCAUGCCGCGUGUAUGAAGAAGGCCUUCGGGUUGUAAAGUACUUUCAGCGGGGAGGAAGGGAGUAAAGUUAAUACCUUUGCUCAUUGACGUUACCCGCAGAAGAAGCACCGGCUAACUCCGUG
rnacentral:rRNA from 1 species